rnacentral:antisense_RNA from 1 species
AAAGUACCUGGACUUCUAUGCCCAUGCUUCUAGCAGCCAGCCUCCUAAAAUACCUCUAGUUGAAGCCAAAGUUAGAAUCCUUCUAUGAAACUACAGGAUUAAAAUGGGAUGGUUACAUGACCCAGGCUUGACCAAUCAGAUCAUCCAAACCCUUUGCCACAGUGAUUGGUCCAGGGAUACAUGCAUGAGCCAGCUCAGCCAGACCCAGAGCCCCAACCCUGGUACACCAGUUAAGAAGGCCACAUUUACAGGAAAGAAGAAAAACUGUUCUGCCCAGUUCCUGGCUAUUACACCACUGAGGGCUUUUCUUGUCUCUAACUUUCAGAGUGCAAGUCCAUUUCACUUACAGAUUCCCUCAUCUGG